UUGAAAGGGAAACGAUUGAAGUCAGUCGUACCAGCGGGAAUCAACCUUUCGAGUGGGGGUUUUGGAGUUUUGAAGAGUGUCAAAACCUUUGAGAUUUCAAAAUUUCGGUCUUUUGGGGGGUUUUUCUCGGGGGUAGGUUAACAUCGAUUUUGAUCAUCAUAAAAAGAUUGGAGGAAUGUAGCUUCGAUCUUGUAUUGAAGUGUUAUAGCCUUUGGUAAAUGUGAUGAUUAGGAUCGAGGAUUGCAACGAAUACCCUUUUGGGCUAUCCGCCUGAUCUCUGAUACGUGGCCUUGGUAUCGAAAGCUUGCUUAUGGUAUUAAGGUAUUACGGUCAAAAGGUUAGAACGGAUUACAUUCGUUAAGGAUGUUGACGUA
rnacentral:rRNA from 1 species